AUCGUAGGCUGCAACCCGCCUGCGUGAAGUUGGAAUUGCUAGUAAUCGCGGAUCAGCAUGCCGCGGUGAAUACGUUCCCGGGCCUUGUACACACCGCCCGUCACACCAUGAGAGUCGGGAACACCCGAAGUCCGUAGUCUAACCCGCAAGGGAGGGCGCGGCCGAAGGUGGGUCCGGUAAUUGGGGUGAAGUCGUAACAAGGUAAC
rnacentral:rRNA from 1 species